rnacentral:lncRNA from 12 species
UGAUCUUAUGUCAGUUAGCCCAGACUAUUGUUCUUAAAGGAAUUAAACUAGUCACAGCAGUUUUUAAAACCUAGGCGUAUACAUUUAAAGGUUUGUCCCCACCCUUGCCUCUCCUAUCAUUUUGAGUUACUCCAACCCACACCGAAGGACAAAGAAUGUGACCAGACUGAGAUCAUGACACGGAACAUGCCUCUUCUGACAGCAGCGCUGCCAUCUCUCCUGCAUAGACACGCAGGCAAACUGGCACAAGUUCAAGAAGCUCAUCUUUGUCUCUAUUUCCUCGCACUCCAAUUUAGCCUUUGGCAAACAAAAGCUCACACGUUGCUUCGGGAAAGGAGGGAAACACUCUUGGGGGACACUGGCCAGUUUUUGUCUUACUGUCUGGAUCAUCCUUGAGACCAGGUCUACUGAACCUCAGGAUCAGUAUGAUCGUCACUUUCGGUAUCAAUUCUCCAAACCUUACCUUGUCACCUGAAGGAGCACCUCCUCAGUCCCUCAGACCACCUUCUCUCUCAUCAAGUAUGCGAGAACUUUUGGAUGCCACACAUCACAUCACAUGAGAAAGUGUUCGUAGAAGCCCUUCAGCUCAUUACACUGUUCCAAGAAGGACACUCCAGGGAGAUUGUAUCUCAAAAUGUUGGGCAUCUCAUUCCAGAGCCAUAAAUGGAAAUGGAAUCAGCAAAAUACCCUCUACCUUCAUUCAGGCUUUGCUAUAUUAACAGUAUGUGUCUAAAGAAAGCCCCUGUCUUUCCUCAAGAUCAGUCCUCAUAUGAGGGGAAAAAAUGAACAAGACCUCUACAGCCUGUCUUAUUUAUUUACAACGGUUUUUCUGCUGUGCCUGGAACAGAGAGCUUGUCUAGCUCUUUUAUCCUUUCAUGUCUUUCUUCUUUUAGUCUAGCUUCAGAUUCAGCUUAUUUGGCAGAAAGCUAUCACCUUUCCUCACUUUGCAAGAUACCAUCUGCUUUUCCAGGCUUGGCCCAUGACAUGUUAUCUGGGAAGUACAGGAAUUUAGUAAACCCUCUCUUUCCACAAAGCUUGGUUUUCAAACUAAUGCCUCGUUCUGAGCUCUCGUCUGUCUGUCCUCUCCACCUGAAGGGCCCUUCCAAAUAAGGAGAUGGGAGUAGUCAAUAAAAUAUAUUUAAGAGGGUAAGGGAAGAAAUCA